rnacentral:rRNA from 1 species
CCGCGUGCAGGAUGAAGGCCUUCGGGUUGUAAACUGCUUUUGUACGGAACGAAAAGUCUUGGGUUAAUACCCUGGGAUCAUGACGGUACCGUAAGAAUAAGCACCGGCUAACUACGUGCCAGCAGCCGCGGUAAUACGUAGGGUGCAAGCGUUAAUCGGAAUUACUGGGCGUAAAGCGUGCGCAGGCGGUUUUGUAAGACAGUGGUGAAAUCCCCGGGCUCAACCUGGGAACUGCCAUUGUGACUGCAAGGCUGGAGUGCGGCAGAGGGGGAUGGAAUUCCGCGUGUAGCAGUGAAAUGCGUAGAUAUGCGGAGGAACACCGAUGGCGAAGGCAAUCCCCUGGGCCUGCACUGACGCUCAUGCACGAAAGCGUGGGGAGCAAACAGGAUUAGAUACCCUGGUAGUCCACGCCCUAAACGAUGUCAACUGGUUGUUGGGAAUUUAUUUUCUCAGUAACGAAGCUAACGCGUGAAGUUGACCGCCUGGGGAGUACGGCCGCAA